AGAGAAUGGAGACCCGCAAAGCAGACAAAUGAAUACUGGAAAGGAUCCCCAAAGGAGGUGUAAGGAUCCGGGACUCUAGUGUCUGCCAGAAGCUUCAGCCACCUUCACAGGUUAGAGCUCACCGCCCAUUGCGGAGGUGAAGACCGGAUGGGAGCUGCUGGAUUGACCUUGAUGUGCCAUGUCAGGACCUACAUCUCAGGGGUGGCCAGCAGCAGAUGUAACACGUGUGUCCAGGAAUGGGCCAAAUAACC